GUUGAAAAAUUAGCGGAUGACUUGUGGCUGGGGGUGAAAGGCCAAUCAAACCGGGAGAUAGCUGGUUCUCCCCGAAAGCUAUUUAGGUAGCGCCUCGUGAAUUCAUCUCCGGGGGUAGAGCACUGUUUCGGCAAGGGGGUCAUCCCGACUUACCAACCCGAUGCAAACUGCGAAUACCGGAGAAUGUUAUCACGGGAGACACACGGCGGGUGCUAACGUCCGUCGUGAAGAGGGAAACAACCCAGACCGCCAGCUAAGGUCCCAAAGUCAUGGUUAAGUGGGAAACGAUGUGGGAAGGCCCAGACAGCCAGGAUGUUGGCUUAGAAGCAGCCAUCAUUUAAAGAAAGCGUAAUAGCUCACUGGUCGAGUCGGCCUGCGCGGAAGAUGUAACGGGGCUAAACCAUGCACCGAAGCUGCGGCAGCGACACUAUGUGUUGUUGGGUAGGGGAGCG
rnacentral:rRNA from 2 species